rnacentral:lncRNA from 1 species
UUCUUUCUUUUUUCAAUUUUUUUCUUUUUCUUUAUCAAUCUCUUAGCAACCAACCUUUUUCUCCCCAACUUGAAUACAACCAAGUCUUGCAAUGUGAAUGCUCCCAAAAUUUCUAAGGAAAGGGUAAAAUUUCAAACCACAAUUCAUGGUUGAAGGUUCAAGUGUUUCAAGAAACAAAUUCAGAAUCCAUACAAAAAUCAAUGAUGAAAUAAUCUUUGUUGCAAUCAAAGGAAAAAUCACACAG